rnacentral:rRNA from 1 species
GGACGAACGCUGGCGGCGUGCCUAAUACAUGCAAGUCGAACGAACGGAGGAAGAGCUUGCUCUUCCAAAGUUAGUGGCGGACGGGUGAGUAACACGUGGGCAACCUGCCUGUAAGUUGGGGAUAACUCCGGGAAACCGGGGCUAAUACCGAAUGAUAAAGUGUGGCGCAUGCCACGCUUUUGAAAGAUGGUUUCGGCUAUCGCUUACAGAUGGGCCCGCGGUGCAUUAGCUAGUUGGUAGGGUAAUGGCCUACCAAGGCAACGAUGCAUAGCCGACCUGAGAGGGUGAUCGGCCACACUGGGACUGAGACACGGCCCAGACUCCUACGGGAGGCAGCAGUAGGGAAUCUUCCGCAAUGGACGAAAGUCUGACGGAGCAACGCCGCGUGUAUGAAGAAGGUUUUCGGAUCGUAAAGUACUGUUGUUAGAGAAGAACAAGGAUAAGAGUAACUGCUUGUCCCUUGACGGUAUCUAACCAGAAAGCCACGGCUAACUACGU